rnacentral:tRNA from 1 species
UUGACGGUAGCUUAAACGGUAAAGCACUCGGUUGUGACCCGAGAGGUUGCGGGAUCAUCCCCCGUCCGUCACCCCA